rnacentral:lncRNA from 10 species
CUUGAGGAUGGGUGGAGCAGCACUGGGAGCAGCGGCAGGAGGCAAAACCCCCGAAAGGAACUGCUUUCAAAGACCCGGCUGAUUGCAUCCCUGGUUACCAGGAAAGAGCAGGACAAGUUACAGUCUCACCACAGGAAAUAAAAAGAAUGCUCCGGCGACUGGCAGCAUUUUUCUACCACGAUUCCAGCCAGCUGUCCUUUAUGCUGCUUGGCACAAGACCUGC